rnacentral:rRNA from 1 species
UACGUAGGGGGGCUAGCGUUGUCCGGAAUCAUUGGGCGUAAAGCGCGCGUAGGCGGCCCGGUAAGUCCGCUGUAAAAGUCAAAGGCUCAACCUUUGAAUGUCAGUGGAUACUGCCGGGCUAGAGUCCGGAAGAGGCGAGUGGAACUCCUGGUGUAGCGGUGGAAUGCGCAGAUAUCAGGAAGAACACCGACGGCGAAGGCAGCUCGCUGGGACGGUACUGACGCUGAGGCGCGAAAGCGUGGGGAGCAAACAGG